AAACUGGGAUUAGAUACCCCACUAUGCCUAGCCCUAAACAUUGAUAGAAUUUUACAACCUCUAUCCGCCCGGGGACUACAAGCAUCAGCUUGAAACCCAAAGGACUUGGCGGUGCUUUAGAUCCACCUAGAGGAGCCUGUUCUAGAACCGAUAACCCCCGUUCAACCUCACCCCUCUUUGUUAAUGCCGCCUAUAUACCACCGUCGUCAGCUUACCCUGUGAGGGAUCAAUAGUAAGCUUAACUGGUACAACCCUAAACGUCAGGUCGAGGUGUAGCGUAUGGAGGGGGAAGAAAUGGGCUACAUUCGCUACAACAGCGAACACGAAUGAUGUCCUGAAACGUACAUCUGAAGGAGGAUUUAGCAGUAAGUAGAAAAUAGAGUGUUCUACUGAAAUUGGCCCUGAAGCGCGCACACACCGCC
rnacentral:rRNA from 1 species